UAUAAAGUGUGGUCUGGAUGUCGAACUCCUU
rnacentral:piRNA from 1 species